rnacentral:lncRNA from 1 species
GAGAGAGGCAGGCUGGGUCCGCCUGGCAGCCUACGAGAGGAGGCGGGAGCGGGAGAGGAGGGGAGCCGAGGCCCGGAGUGGGGAGGCCGGCAGGAAGGGCUACGAGCCCAGCUCGGACCUUUCUUCAGCCUCCCGGCGGCCGAACGCAGCGCUAGGCUGCUGCGCUGUGAGGAUGCCCUGACUCAGUGCCGGACGCUGUGGCUGGUGGCGCCGCGAGCCUCCGGGCGUCGGAUCCCGGCAUGAGAAACGGCAGAGCUGUGCCGUGCCCUCGCCCAGGAGGCCUGGGCGCUGCGAGCCAGGUGGAGGCGUCGGAGUUCACUAAUUAGACAGGUUUUGUCUCCCACGUUUCAGUAAGACCCGUCUCAGAGUUCUCAGAAUUCCUCUCAGAGGAGAGUAAAGUUAGAACUGCAGGCUGGUUUUCCUGUCAGCGCCCGUACCUCGGGUGCAGAAGGGAACUUAGCGGAGGGUUGUCUGGUGAAAGGCGUUCCAGGCACCGCGGGGCAGGGGCUUCACUUUUCCAAGUUGGAAGAAGCGGGAAGCAGUGGGGUCGGGGCAGCGGCGGUGAGCAGCCUCCUCAGAGAACUGGGCAGUUUCACGCGGGAUCUGCGGCGAGACCACAGGGCACGCCCUCGUCGCGCGCGCCCUCAGAGCCAGGCUGGGACGAGGGGAAACCCUAAGCUGCCCUGAGGAGACCACCUCCUGCUACACUGAAGGAGAAGAAGGUUCGGAGGGCGACCAGAGCGACAGAACCGGGGCUGAAACUCAGCUCGCUGGUCCGCCACCAGGCUUCUUUACCUUCAGCAAGUUUGCAGCCGUGAGGUUGGCAAUGUUCCCAGAUGAAAUGUUCACCUUUUAAGAAUCUAUUGCAUCCAACUGUGGCAAUGUACCAAAAGUUCUACAGCACAGCUAAAGAGGGAGCAGCCACCUUACCUCCAUGUUUGGACAAGCAUGAAGAUAAGAACUUCCCUGUGUGCGUGAUGGAAAAAAAUGAUAGAAGGGGCCAAAUUCCCAUCACUAAUACUUGUUGAUAUGUGAGGAAAAAUAAAAUGCUAUUACAAAGUUAAGCUACA